AACGAACGCUGGCGGCAUGCCUAACACAUGCAAGUCGAACGAGACCUUCGGGUCUAGUGGCGCAUGGGUGCGUAACGCGUGGGAACCUGCCCUUAGGUUCGGAAUAACUCCCCGAAAGGGGUGCUAAUACCGGAUAAUGUCUUCGGACCAAAGAUUUAUCGCCUUUGGAUGGGCCCGCGUUGGAUUAGCUAGUUGGUAGGGUAAAGGCCUACCAAGGCGACGAUCCAUAGCUGGUCUGAGAGGAUGAUCAGCCACACUGGGACUGAGACACGGCCCAGACUCCUACGAGAGGCAGCAGUAGGGAAUAUUGGACAAUGGGCGAAAGCCUGAUCCAGCAAUGCCGCGUGAGUGAUGAAGGCCUUAGGGUUAUAAAGCUCUUUUACCCGUGAUGAUAAUGACAGUACCGGGAGAAUAAGCGCCGGCUAACUCCGUG
rnacentral:rRNA from 1 species